GACGAACGCUGGCGGCGUGCUUAACACAUGCAAGUCGAACGGAAAGGCCCUGCUUUUGUGGGGUGCUCGAGUGGCGAACGGGUGAGUAACACGUGAGUAACCUGCCCUUGACUUUGGGAUAACUUCAGGAAACUGGGGCUAAUACCGGAUAGGAGCUCCUGCUGCAUGGUGGGGGUUGGAAAGUUUCGGCGGUUGGGGAUGGACUCGCGGCUUAUCAGCUUGUUGGUGGGGUAGUGGCUUACCAAGGCUUUGACGGGUAGCCGGCCUGAGAGGGUGACCGGCCACAUUGGGCCUGAGAUACGGCGCAGACUCCUACGGGAGGCAGCAGUGGGGAAUAUUGCACAAUGGGCGGAAGCCUGAUGCAGCAACGCCGCGUGCGUGAUGACGGCCUUCGGGUUGUAAACCGCUUUCGCCUGUGACGAAGCGUGAGUGACGGUAAUGGGUAAAGAAGCACCGGCUAACUACGUG
rnacentral:rRNA from 1 species